UGCUUUGCGAUGAUGAAGAAUAGUAUAUAUUGUUAAACUCUUAGAGAGUCUGUGAUGGUGGGAAACAGAUAGUAGCGCAAUAUAGAAUGGGCUUUUGAGCAACCGAACCGAACCAAUAAUGAUUGUAAGUAGGCCUCGGCGUUUAGUCCUUUACGUUAUCAAGGACUUCGUAUCGCUUCAACAGCUGUACGGUUUAAAGUGAUUCUAACUAAGUUAGAAUAAUUAGGGUGGUACCGCGGUCCAUUCGUCCCUAUC
rnacentral:ncRNA from 1 species